rnacentral:misc_RNA from 1 species
CUACUCCCCCUCACUCCCCACAUCCUAAUCUCCCACCACUUCCCCCACACACUCCCCUCUUCCGCCAUGGUCAUGGACAAGUCCAACCUCCCACAGCCGCCGCCGCCUCCUCCCUCCUCCGCCUCCUCGCUCAAGUCCCUCAACAAGGCCUCCUACAAGAUCUCCAAGCAGUCGUCCUCCGCCUCUUCCGCUCCCUCUCCCGCUCCCCCUUCCACCAUGAGAGCGCCUUCCCCGCCGCCGCCGGCUCCCCGCCCACCCGCACCACUUCCGCCGCCGCAGGCCUCCUCCGUCCCUGCCGACCACCCGCCUCCCCAGCCCCCGGUGUACAACAUCGACAAGUCGGACUUCCGCGACGUCGUCCAGAAGCUCACCGGCUCGCCGUCCCACCUCCUGCCGCCCCAGCCCGCGGCCGCCCCCGCCCCCGCCCCCGUCAUGGCGCCACCCCCGCCUCCCCUCAUGGCGCGUCCUCCUCCGCUGCCUCACACCAUGGCGCCCCCGCCUCCGCCGCCGACGGCGAUACCCUCCCGCCUCCACCGCAUCCGCCCGCCGCCUCUGGCCCCGCCGCGCCCGCCGCCCAUCCUCCAGCCGGCCCCGCCGGCGCUCUCCCCGCUCCCGCCGCUCCCGGCCGUCUGCAUGACCGCGGAGUCGCCCAUCUCCGCCUACAUGCGCCGCCUCCGCGGGAUGCCGUCGCCGAUCCACGUGCCCACGUCGCCGCUCGGCUUCGGCUGCCUGCCCUCGCCGCGGACGCCGCCGUCGCCCGGCGUGCCCAUGCCGGCCACCAGUCCACGCGUCCGCGACCCGUGACGCGGGAACCCACCACCACUGCUGCGCCGCCGCCAGCGCCGAUGUGUAGAUACGGCUGGUGUAGGAGAGAGAGAUCCGGCGACCAAAGGCGGAAGCAGCGAGACCUUCACAUUCUGUUAGCUCCAUCUCUCUCUCUCUCUCUCUCUCUCUCUCUCUCUCUCUCUCUCUCUCUCUCUCUCUCUCUCUCUCUCUUCAAAAUCAAAAUCUUUAGCUAUAAAAAUUCUUUCUUUUUUUUCCUCCUAGCGUGCUCCACCUGCCUUGAUAUUUUGUUGGUGUAUAUGGGACAUGCGGCGCUUGGUUGGCAACCAAUAUGGAUUGCUCAUGUUUGCCUAAUUUUUUUUGUAACAACGCUUAGUAUGCAAGAUCAUAUCCGAGAUUUCUUUAGGAUAGUAGCAUAACAGUAGCAGUUUAUCUAGUCUUGCUUGUUGUGUCUACACUUGCAGUAAACUCAUCUGGACUACAUUGUUCUUUGCUUCUGGCUUUGUGAGGUCAAAAGGACUGGGGUGGGACUAGUCCGAUCUGGUAUCCUGGUAUUUGUUCCGUGCUUGCUAUUUGGAUCCUUGUUCAUGAAUCAUGAUAGGUUCUGCUCGGUAGACAAUUGCAAUUCAGCUUUGGUUUCUGGUAUGACAUGGACCUCGUUUGUUUUGUGGUGCAUGGUGGCUCAUCUAAUUAUGGUCACAUGAACUACAAAGCAUGUUUGGUGACACAUCGCCGUUGCGCUCCCCCCUUCUCUUGUUAAUCAUCAGGAGCUGUACUGCAGUAGCAUGAGGAUUGUAGUAGCAGUUUUUGUGCUGUGG